GACAGAUCAAGAUGGUGUCCCCGGCCCAGCUCCUCGGGCUCCUGCUGCUCUGGAUCCCAGACUCCACUGGGCAGAUUGCCGUCACUCAGACUCCAGACUCCCAGUCGGUGACUCCAGGAGAGACGGUCACCAUCAAGUGCAAGACCAGUCAAAGCGUUAGCAGCUCCAUGCACUGGUACCAGCAGAAACCUGGACAAGCCCCUAAGCUGCUCAUUAAGUAUGCCACCACCUUGAUGCCCGGGGUCCCGGCCCGGUUCAGUGGCAGCGGGUCUGGGACAGAUUUCACUUUCACCAUCAGGAGUGUGGAGGCUGAUGAUGCUGCAGACUAUUACUGUCAACAAAGUAGUAGUGGGUCUCACAAUGCUCCAGCACUGUUCAAAAACCUCUCCCCUCUGGCUGAUUAG